GCCUCCAGGCCUUUGAUGGGAGGGGCUGCCGAGAAGGUCUCUGACAUGGCCUGGAGACAUUUUCCCCAUGGUCUUGGGGAUUAACAUUAGGCUCCUGGCUACUUAUGCAAAUUUCUGCAGCUGGGUUGAAUUUCUCCCCAGAAAAUGGGUUUUUCUUUUCUAUUGCAUAGUCAGGCUGCAAAUUUUCCAAACUUUUAUGCUUUGCUUCCCUUAUAAAACUGAAUGCCUUUAACAGCACCCAUGUCACCUCUUGAAUGCUUUGCUGCUUAGAAAUUUCUUCCGCCAGAUACCCUAAAUCAUCUCUCUCAGAUUCAAAGUUCCAAAAAUCUCUAGGGCAGGGGCAAAAUGCUGCCAGUCUCUUUGCUAAAACAUAACAAGAAUCAUCUUUGCUCCAGUUCCCAACAAGUUCAUUAUCUCCGUCUGAGACCACCUCAGCCUGGACCUUAUUGGUCAUAUCACUAUCAGCAUUUUUGUCAAAGCCAUUCAACAAGUCUCUAGGAAGUUCUAUGCUUUCCCACAUUUUCCCAUCUUCUUCUGAGCCCUACAAACUAUUCCAACCUCUGCCUGUUACCCAGCUCCAAAGCUGCUUCCACAUUUUUGGGUAUCUUUUCAGCAACACCUGGCUCUAUUGGUACCAAUUUACUGUAUUAGUCUGUUUUCAAACUGCUAAUAAAGACAUACUCGAGACUGGGAAGAAAAGGAGAUUUAAUUGGACUUACAGUCCCACAUGGCUGGGGAGGUUUCACAAUCAUAGCGGAGGAUGAAAGGCACUUCUUACAUGGCAGUGGCAAGAGAGAAUGAGAAGGAAGUGAAAGUGGAAUCCCCUGGUAAACCCAUCAGAUCUUGUGAGACUUAUUCACUAUCACAAGAAUAGCAUGGCAAAGACCCGCCCCCAUGAUUCAGUCACCUCCCACUGGGUACCUCCCACAACACGUGGGAAUUCUGGGAGAUACAAUUCAAGUUGAGAUUUGGGUGGGGGUACAGCCAAACCAUAUCAGAUAGGUUAUUUAUAUAUUCCCUAAAUUAUUUUGUAAAGCUGGAUAUGCUUAUUCUUUUUGUUUUUUUAAUAAGAUUUUUCUUUAACUUGCUUAGAGUCAUUAGUAUAUACACAUCCUGAAGUACAUAAUAAAACUCAGACUAACCUACCUUCUGUAAUGUAUCUUUCUUGCUUGAGAUAGUGGCUUAUGGAGAAAUAAAAUAUUUAUCUACAAAUUUUUAAGUUAGCAUUUUGAUUGUAUUCAAGUAGAGAAUAUUUUCUUAGAUACUCAUACUAAGAUUUAAAAUUUGAUAUUUUAUAUUUGACUUUUCUCUUUUUUAGAUAAUGCCUCCCAACCUGAGACCAAAGCCAUCAUUGAAAAUUUGAUUCAAAAACAGGACUUUAGUCUUUCUGUUGCCUUAGAUGGUGGUUCCAUGCUGGUCACAUAUCCUUAUGACAAGCCAGUACAGACAGGUAUGUAGAAUGUCAUUUUAUAUAUAUACUGUUUAAGCUUAGGUAGCAAAUCCCAAUUAAGUAAUGUCCCUUCCACAUUUUUAUAAAUAGUGAGCAUUUGAGCACACUCUAUGAGCAAAUUACCAACCAAAGAAGAUUGUACAUACAUCAGCAGUUCAGUUACUUGGAGAGCUCAGAUCUAAUGGUAGCCCAGCUUUAUUGAGUCUAGCUAUCUUGUUCCAUCUGUUCCAUUUAGUCCACAAGCAUUUACUGAGCAAUUAUUAUGUCUGUAAAUAUUGAGAAUAUAAAAGUGAGUAUGACACGGUUUCUGCCUCAUGAAACUCCUAUGUAACCAAAUACUAACAGUACAGAUUUGUCCUUCCCUGUUUUAAACUUUGACUAAGUGGUUGCACCUUAUGGUGAGUUAAAUAGUUGGUUGUUUAAUCUCUGUGGGGUCGCAGUAUAUGGAGAUAGUUUGGGUGGUUUUCAGUGCAUCUUACAAAGAAUAUUGUUAUUAGGCUACAGUUGUCCCAAAAUGCAGUAAGACAUACCAAAACAAGUUUGUAUUUUAGUGUGAUAGUCUGUUGUGAAAACUCACCAUUAGAACCUUUUCAUGUAAAGAGGAUGUUUGUCUUCUAUUAUCUUGGGCUAAAUAAAACCUUUUAGGGUUAAUUAUAGUAACAGUAUACUUAAGUGGAGUGCAAAAUUUAUUAGGAGAAAAAGAUGACUUGUAUCCAUGAAGGUUAACUUGGGGGAAAAAAAUCAUUUGGAUUUCUCCACUGACUUCUAAAUUUUUCUUUCUAUAGUGGAAAAUAAAGAGACUCUGAAGCAUUUGGCAUCUCUUUAUGCAAAUAAUCAUCCAUCCAUGCACAUGGGUCAGCCCAGUUGCCCAAAUAAAUCAGAUGAGAAUAUUCCAGGAGGAGUAAUGCGUGGAGCAGAAUGGCAUAGUCACCUGGGCAGCAUGAAGGUAUGCUUUCUAGAACAUGGUUAGAAUGGAGUUAUGGCCAGGCACAAUGCCGUAUGUGUAAACCCAGUGCUUUGGGAGGCCAAGGCAGGUGGAUUUUCUGAGUUUGGGAGUUCAAGACCAGCCUGGCCAACAUGGUGAAACCCCAUUUCUACUAAAAAUAUAAAAAUUAGCUGGGUGUGGUGGCAGACGCCCGUAAUCCCAGCUACUUGGGAGGCUGAGUCAGGAGAAUCGCUUGAACCUGGGAGGCGGAGGUUGCAGUGAGUCGAGCCGAGAUCGCACUACUGCACUCCAGCCUGGGCAACAGAGCAAGAUUCCAUCUCAAAAAAAAAAAAAAAAA
rnacentral:lncRNA from 10 species